rnacentral:rRNA from 1 species
UACGGGGGGGGCAAGCGUUGUUCGGAAUUACUGGGCGUAAAGGGCUCGUAGGCGGCCAACUAAGUCAGACGUGAAAUCCCUCGGCUUAACCGGGGAACUGCGUCUGAUACUGGAUGGCUUGAGUUUGGGAGAGGGAUGCGGAAUUCCAGGUGUAGCGGUGAAAUGCGUAGAUAUCUGGAGGAACCCCGGUGGCGAAGGCGGCAUCCUGGACCAACACUGGCGCUGAGUGAGCGAAAGCCAGGGGAGCAAACGGG